rnacentral:rRNA from 1 species
GUAGGUGGCAAGCGUCGUCCGGAAUUAUUGGGCGUAAAGCGCGCGCAGGCGGUCCUUUAAGUCUGAUGUGAAAGCCCACGGCUCAACCGUGGAGGGUCAUUGGAAACUGGGGGACUUGAGUACAGAAGAGGAAAGCGGAAUUCCAAGUGUAGCGGUGAAAUGCGUAGAGAUUUGGAGGAACACCAGUGGCGAAGGCGGCUUUCUGGUCUGUAACUGACGCUGAGGCGCGAAAGCGUGGGGAGCAAACAGGAUUAGAUACCCUGGUAGUCCACGCCGUAAACGAUGAGUGCUAAGUGUUAGGGGGUUUCCCGCCCCCCUUAGUGCUGCAGCUAACGCAUUAAGCACUCCGCCUGGGGAGUACGGCCGCAAGGCUG